rnacentral:tRNA from 1 species
UAAGAUCUGCAGGACUUUCCCCCACAUCACCUGAAUGCAACCCAGAUACUUUAAUUAAGCUAAGACCUU